GCUGGGCGCGGUGGCCUGUGCCUAUAGUCCCAGCUAUUCGGGAGGCUGAGGCUGGAGGAUCUCUUGAGUCCAGGAGUUCUGGGCUGUAAUGCACUAUGCCGAUCAGGUGUCCUCAGUAAGUUUGGAAUCAAUAUGGUGACCUCCCGAGAGUGGGGGACCACCAGGUUGCCAAAGGAGGGGUGAACUGGCCCAGGUUGGAAACAGAGCAGGUCAAAACUCCCGUGCUGAUCAGUAGUGGGAUCGUGCCUGUGAAUAGCCACUGCACUCCAGCCUGGGCAAUAUAGCGAGACCCUGUCCCUU
rnacentral:SRP_RNA from 2 species